GUUCAGUGUUCAAUUGAUGAACAUAGGAGAGAGCUCAGGCUAACUUGGAAGUCAUUUAUGUGUAAGCACAGGGCAACUGGUUGUUACAGAAAAGAGAACAUUCAAGAAAUCAUGGAGGUGGAAUACAGGAACCUGGGCACCACAUACGCAGAUUACGUGUUGCUCCGGGUUCUUUUGCCUUGACUUCAUAUCUGCCCCCUCAGUCUCUCCAGGAUACAAUGUGGAAAACAUGGCCACUGACAGGUUGGCAUAACUGCCAGAAUAGCUUUAUUCAUCAGAAAGACAGGGACUGUCCUA
rnacentral:lncRNA from 10 species